CCAGCCUAGGCGCGUCACACCGUCAACGCUGCAGACCCGAAAGCUUCUUCUACUCUUUGGAGACACAGGGAGGCCAAAGGCCUCCCUCAGGAUCACAGAGCAGCAGUCUUUUCUAUUUUGGAGGUCUGAGGGUUCAACACAGGGUUUGCAUGUGCCAGGCAACUGCUCUACCACUGAGCUCCAUCCCCAGCCUCUCCACUUUUAUUUUGAAACAGGCUCUCACUGAGUUGCCAAGGCUGGCCUGAAACUUGAAAUCUUCCUGCCUCAGCCUCUGGCGCAGCUGGGAUUACAGGUGUGCACCACCACACCUGGCUCAGAACAGCAGGCUGUAAUGGAGCAACUGGCACCUCCAGCCAGGAGACCACUCGCCUCUCCCAACGCCCUCGGGUGUUUCCCCUCAUAGAGGAAGGAGGAGAUGGAGCCAGGAGGCAGCACAUCCACUCUGCGUAGACACAGGGCUCUGCCUACUGUUGUCUGUAGCGUCCCCGGGCGCUUGCAGCUGUUGAACACCCAUUUAUGAAUGAAGGCAAAGGUGCUCGCUUGGGCAGCACAAGUACUGAGAGUGGAGCGAUACAGAGAAGUGUGAGUGAAGGUGAAGAAGCCCUGGGCUUGGCAGAACUGACAGUGCCCAGAAACUCUGCCGCAGGCCUUGGAGACGACGCCUUCCCGCGGCUCGGGGUCCCCUUCAAUCUGCCCCUCCACUCAUCAUCGUCCCCGCCACCUCCGGGCCUUGGCACUUGCUGUCCCAAUUUGUUCCCCCAGCUCUCUGCAUGGAUAAGGUAGCUCUCACACAGGCUGCCCCUCUGAAGUUCACUAGCCUCGCGCAGAACCCGCACAGGGUGGUGUUAUCUCCGCCGCCUCAGCUAGACGGUAAGACCCGGAAGAUGAGACUGCAUCUUUGCUUCACAACUCUACGCCCUAGACUAGAACAGUGAACACGCACUUGGUAAACAAUAAAUGCCUACGAGGAAGGGUGAGCCACACGCCCGUGGAGCGCAAGGGUCUCUCCCUAGGAACACCAGGGCCGGGCCAGGAUAAGUGGCCAGCGCCAGGAAGAGGGGUGCCGCGCAGAGGGCGCUGUUCCGGGGCAGCAGUGCUGAAGACACAGGGGCCGGGGCCCAGCAGGCCACUCUGCCGCCUCCCGAGGGACAGGAUGUGGGUAUUAAGAGAAGGAGCGCUAGAGGGAGCUCCUCCACUGAGGGGGUGUGAAGGGGGUGCCUUGAGAAUCGCCAAGGAGGUUGCAGGAGGGGAAAAGACAUUCCUGGUAUGGACCAGAAUAAAAGCAUUUUUCACCAACAAAGGGGUCUCUGGGGGCGGCUCGUGUAUGGACAGAGAGUAGGGGGCAGUUCGGGCGCAAAGCACUAAUGCACCUCUCCCGGGAACCAUCCUUUAGCGGGGGGACUCGGCCCCUGUAAUGGGUUCAGCAGCAGCUGCCCUAGGACGGGGAGCGAUCCUGGUGUCACUGGCGGGGGGCUGUCCUGCACCAAGCAGCAAGGGGCUAUGUGCAAGAGAUCCCAAGAGAAAGCAUUAGUGGGAGCCCUGGCAGUUGGGCCGUCACGAAUGGGGGCGCUUUGCAGGCGUCCACCCUGGGCUGCCCACAGGCAAAGACUGAAUGGCCUUAUGGAGAGCAGCGGUUGGGGUCCCCUGGCUAGGCCCGGCGGAGGCACUGGCGCUGAGGGGCGUCCCGGGGACCGCUGCAGGCCAGGACGGGGCCCCCCGCCCCCGCUGUCCCCGGGCCGCGCGCCCGUCACUCACCGGCGCCGGGGUCUCCGCCGGGAGGAGGCCUAGGGAGGCGGAGGAGGCGCCGCCGCUCCGGGGAGACCCGAGACCCCGACCGGA
ensembl:lncRNA